AAAAUGUGAUCUGAUCAUCUUCUAAGUCACAACAAUAGACAAUCACAGUCUGCUUAAACUAAUAACACACAAAGAAUGAAAUGUUGCCAUGUUUUUAUUGAACACAACAUGUAAACAUUCACAGUGCAGGUGGAAAAAGUAUAUGAAACCCUAGACUAAUGACAUCUCCAAGAGCUAAUUGGAGUGACAUGUCAGCCAACCGGAGUCCAAUCAGUGAGAUGAGAUUGGAGGUGUUGGUUACAGCUGCCCUGCCCUAUAAAAAAAAAAACACACACCAGUUCUGGGUUUGCUUUUCACAAGAAACAUUGCCUGAUGUGAAUGAUACCUCACACAAAAGAGCUCUCAGAAGACCUACGAUUAAGAAUUGUUGACUUGCAUAAAGCUGGAAAGGGUUAUAACAGUAUCUCCAAAAGCCUUGCUGUUCAUCAGUCCACGGUAAGACAAACUGUCUAUAAAUGGAGAAAGUUCAGCACUGCUGCUACUCUACCUAGGAGUGGCCAUCCUGUAAAAGAUGACUGCAAGAGCACAGCGCAGACUGCUCAGUGAGGUGAAGAAGAAUCCUAGAGUGUCAGCUAAAGACUUACAAAAGUCACUGGCAAAUGCUAACAUCCCUGUUAGCGAAUCUACAACAUGUAAAACACUAAACAAGAAUGGAUUUCAUGGGAGGACACUAAGGGGAAGCCACUGCUGUACAAACAAAACAUUGCUGCACGUUUACAGUUUGCACAAGAGCACCUGGAUGUUCCACAGCAGUAUUGGCAAAAUAUUCUGUGGACAGAUUAAACCAAAGUUGAGUUGUUUGGAAGAAAAACACAACACUGUGUGGCGAAAAAAAGGCACAGCACACCAACAUCAAAACCUCAUCCCAACUGUGAAGUAUGGUGGUCGGGGCAUCAUGGUUUGGGGCUGCUUUGCUGCGUCAGGGCCUGGACGGAUUGCUAUCAUCGAAGGAAAAAUUAAUUCCCAAAUUCAUCAAGACAUUUUGCAGGAGAACUUAAGGCCAUCUGUCUACCAGCUGAAUAUGGGCGUUGCAACAGGACAAUGACCCAAAGCAUAGAAGCAAAUCAACAACAGAAAGGCUUAAACAGAAGAAAAUACGCCUUCUGAAGUGGCCCAGUCAGAGUCCUGACCUCAACCCGAUUGAGAUGCUGUGGCAUGACCUCAAGAAAGCGAUUCACACCAGACAUCCCAGGAAUAUUGCUGAACUGAAACAGUUCUGUAAAGAGGAAUGGUCUAGAAUUACUCCUGACCGUUGUGCACGUCUGACCUGCAACUACAGGAAACGUUUGGUUGAAGUUAUUGCUGCCAAAGGAGGUUCAACCAGUUAUUAAAUCCAAGGGUUCAAAUACUUUUUCCACCUGCACUGUGAAUGUUUACAUGGUGUGUUCAAUAAAAACAUGGCAACAUUUCAUUCUUUGUGUGAUAUUAGUUUAAGCAGACUGUGAUUGUCUAUUGUUGUGACUUAGAUGAU